rnacentral:rRNA from 1 species
AGUUUGAUCCUGGCUCAGAGUGAACGCUGGCGGUAGGCCUAACACAUGCAAGUCGAACGGCAGCACAGAGGAGCUUGCUCCUUGGGUGGCGAGUGGCGGACGGGUGAGGAAUACAUCGGAAUCUACUCUGUCGUGGGGGAUAACGUAGGGAAACUUACGCUAAUACCGCAUACGACCUACGGGUGAAAGCAGGGGAUCUUCGGACCUUGCGCGAUUGAAUGAGCCGAUGUCGGAUUAGCUAGUUGGCGGGGUAAAGGCCCACCAAGGCGACGAUCCGUAGCUGGUCUGAGAGGAUGAUCAGCCACACUGGAACUGAGACACGGUCCAGACUCCUACGGGAGGCAGCAGUGGGGAAUAUUGGACAAUGGGCGCAAGCCUGAUCCAGCCAUACCGCGUGGGUGAAGAAGGCCUUCGGGUUGUAAAGCCCUUUUGUUGGGAAAGAAAUCCAGCCGGCUAAUACCUGGUUGGGAUGACGGUACCCAAAGAAUAAGCACCGGCUA